rnacentral:misc_RNA from 1 species
UAAUUAUUUUAUUUUAUUUUUGUGUUUAUGCAUAGAGUUAACAAUGAAUUCGGAGUAAAAGAAACUAAGAAUUCAAAAUUUGAUAACUUUCUUCUUUCUGUGCAAUUGACAUUAAUUGAAAAUUAAACUCAUAAUUUUUUAGAUGACUUUAGCAUAGCGAAAGCUAAUUUAUCACAACUUUCUUAUUUUGAAAAAAAAUUCCGGCAUAUCCAAGAAUAGUAGCGGACAAAACCGACAUUUGUAGAUGGUAG